GUUCCUGUAGUUGAGGCCUACAACGACAGUUUUUCAGGCUGUAGACCUUGGAGCGAAGCCAAGCGGGAACC
rnacentral:tRNA from 1 species